ACCGGUCUUUAUAAGCGAAGCCGGUAUUGUGUGGAUGGGCAGUGCCGCGCUUACAUCCAACAGGGAAUAUUGUGAUAUUUGUGAUUAAUUUAGUGAUUAAUAAAAAUAAAUAUUAGUUAAAAUGAAGGCCUUAGUGACGUGUUUAGUACUGGGUGUGAUGGUGCAGGCGUCCCUCGGGAUGGACCUCAACAGGAGAAGGCGCCAGUCAGACACUGACCCGGAUGACUUGGAUGACCGGUACGGAAGUCUAUUCCCCGGUCAGUUUCCCGGACAGAAUCAGUUCCCCGGUCAAAAUCAAUUCCCCGGUCAGAAUCAAUUCCCAGGCCAGAACCAGUUUCCGGGACAGAAUCAGUUUCCUGGACAGAAUCAGUUUCCCGGACAGAAUCAGUUCCCAGGACAAAAUCAGUUCCCAGGACAAAAUCAGUUCCCUGGACAAAAUCAGUUCCCAGGACAAAAUCAAUUCCCUGGCCAGAACCAGUUUCCCGGACAGAAUCAAUUCCCAGGACAGAACCAGUUUCCGGGGCAAAACCAGUUCCCUGGACAGAACCAAUUUCCAGGACAGAACCAGCAGUUCCCAGGACAAAAUCAGUUCCCUGGACAAAACCAGCCCGGACAGAAUCAAAACCCUGGACAAAAUGGACAACCGACCACGGCGGCACCCACUGCAGGGCAGUUUCCGGGUUUAGACCAGUCUCCAAAUCAACAGCCGGGAUCAAACGCAGGACAAAAUAAACCGAAAUCGCAACAAGAAGACAAACCAAGUGAACAAAAGCCUCAGGGAAGAGAUCAGACUCAGGUUAACACCCCCGACAAGCGGCCAAACUCUACACCGAAUGAAGGAGAUCAAGGAUCAGAUUUCAACCAGACUCAAUAUCCAGGGCCUAACAGUCAAGGACCAUACCCUAACGGUGGGCAAUACCCAGGGCAAUAUCCACAACAAGGCGGUCCAGGAGGUUUAGGCCAAUAUCCACAGCAAGGAGUUCCAGGGCCAUAUCCAGGACAAUAUCCUGGACAAGGACAAUAUCCAGGUUCGAGGCCAGGAUAUCCCAAUCAGGGCCAGUUUCCUAACCAAGGCCAAUAUCCGAAUCAGGGACAGUUUCCGAACCAGGGACAAUAUCCGCAAGGCCAAUAUCCCCUAGGUCAAUAUCCCCAGGAAUAUCCAGGACAAGGAUAUUAUCCAGAACGAGAGCCGUUCCCCGGUGGCCCGGGGCAGUACCGCCCGGAUCAGUAUCCUCGACCCGGCAGUCAAGGACAAUACCCCAAUCAGUACCCAGGAAGCCAGUACCCAGGUAGCCAGUACCCAGGUAGCCAGUACCCAGGUAGUCAGUAUCCAGGGAACCAGGGACCGUACCCGAACCGACCACCAUUUGGGCAAAAUCAAUACCCUGGUCAGGGGCAGUUCAUAGGACAAGGCCAAUAUCCUACUCAAGGCCCAUAUCCAUCUCAAGGCCAAUAUCCAAUUCAAGGUCAGUAUCCAGGAUCACCUUCCUACCCAAGCCAGGGACCGUAUCCCAAUCGUCCACCUUUUGGGCAAAAUCAGUACCCUCAAGGGCAGUUUGGGCAGAACCAGUAUCCUGGGCAAGGUCCAUUUUUUGGAAGACAUUUGGCUGGCCCGAAUCCUUCUGAUUCUCAAAAGACACCGCCAAAAACCAACGAAAACGAACAAGAUACAGCCGCCCCUAUGAACCAGGGGACCAAUCAGGAUGAACAAACAAUGAAGAAUGUAAGAGUAAAUGAAAUAACACCGUCGUCGUCAGACCAAAAUCAAUCUAAUCAAAAUGGACAAGAUAUCACUUCUGAACCAUCUGUAAGGAGCCACAACAAUGAGUCCUCGGGAGGCGCAGUGCAUCCAGCAGUGCCCCGUCACGUCUGAGUUCAACCCCGUGUGUGGUUCCGACGGGCAGGAGUACAGCAACCCCGGCCGGCUCGACUGCGCAAGGGGCUGUGGGAGAGGAGUGACGCUGGCGCGGUCCGGCCCCUGCCCCCGCAUCCCCGUCACCGACGCCCCCGCCGGGUAGAACCACCUUCUACAUCCUCACACUAUUUGUAAACUAGUCUCGAUAUAUUAUUUAGGAUCACUUUCUUUCAG